GACGAACGCUGGCGGCGUGCUUAACACAUGCAAGUCGAACGGAAAGGCCCUGCUUGCAGGGUGCUCGAGUGGCGAACGGGUGAGUAACACGUGGGUGAUCUGCCCUGCACUUCGGGUUAAGCCUGGGAAACUGGGUCUAAUACCGGAUAGGAGCCAUUUUUAGUGUGAUGGUUGGAAAGUUUUUUCGGUGUAGGAUGAGCUCGCGGCCUAUCAGCUUGUUGGUGGGGUAAUGGCCUACCAAGGCGGCGACGGGUAGCCGGCCUGAGAGGGUGGUCGGCCACAUAGGGACUGAGGGACGGCCCAGACGCCUACGGGUGGCAGCAGGGGGGAAUAUUGCACAAUGGGCGCAAGCCGUAUGCAGCGACGCCGCGUGUGGGAUGACGGCCUUCGGGUGGUAAACUCCUUUCGCGAGGGACGAAGCUUUUUGUGACGGUACCUAGAGAAGAAGCACCGGCUAACUACGUG
rnacentral:rRNA from 1 species